GACGAACCGAGCGAACGUUGUUCGGAAUCACUGGGCUUAAAGGGCGCGUAGGCGGGUGCUCAAGUCCGGGGUGAAAUCCCACAGCUCAACUGUGGAAGUGCCUUCGAUACCGGCGAGCUCGAGGGAGGUAGGGGUGCGCGGAACUUCUGGUGGAGCGGUGAAAUGCGUUGAUAUCAGAAGGAACGCCGGCGGCGAAAGCGACGCACUGGAUCUCUACUGACGCUGAGGCGCGAAAGCCAGGGGAGCAAACGGG
rnacentral:rRNA from 1 species